rnacentral:lncRNA from 7 species
AAAGAGAAUAACAAGUAAAAAGCAAUGCAUGUAAAUACAGAGCAAGCAAGUAGGAAAGCUAGGCAUAGCACAGCAAAAGAGAGCAAAGCAAAAGAAGGCAAAGAAUGACAAAAAGCAACCUUGCAGGAAUGGAGGAAUCUGUCCAGAGCUGUGCCCCUGCUUGCCACAGGAGCUGCGCGGGAGGAGAAGAACGUGGGCCAAAAGGAAUGGAGGAAUCUGUCCAGAGCUGUGCCCCUGCUUGCCACAGGAGCUGCGCGGGAGGAGAAGAACGUGGGCCAAAAGGUAAGAGGAGCUCCUUUGGGUUCUGGGCUUGAAGCAAAGCUGAGAAGCCAUGCCCGGGAGGAGGUGUGGGUAGCUACAGGCCACCUUGCUAUCUCCCCAAGAGAUGAGGUGUGUGGGCUAGGCACCGGGCAGGAGUGCUGGCCAGAAGCAAGCAUCUCUGUGGAGGAAGGCAAAGGGCGGAGGAGGUUCAGGGUAGCUACCGGGCAUGGCCUUGCUCAGCAAGGGGAGGAAAAGCCUGAAGGGCACGAGAAGGGGAUAGAGAAGGGCAGGCAGUAGGCGUGAAGCUGCGAGCAGAGUAGAGAGCAACUUGGCAGAGCAGCAAGCAGAGUAGGCAAGUGUUGAGGUUUGGCGUGAGUAGCAGCAAAAGCCCAGCAGCAUCAAAGCAGGAAGUGAGGAGAAGGUAAGUGAAGGGCAGGCAAGGUAAUGGGAGGCAAAGGCAAGGGGAAAGGGGGGGUAAGGGAGAAAGAAGGGAUGGGGAUGGGGAGGGGAUGGGUGAAGAGCAGAGCGGAGGGAAGGGCUGAGGGGAGGGCUGAAGGCAAACCUAUGAUGAAAAAAGAAAAGAAAAAAUAAGAACAAAAAAUAUGAAAAAAGAGAAAAAAAGAAAAGAAAAAUAAGAAAAAGAGAAAAAAUGAAAAGAAAAAAAGAAAAAAAUGAACAAAAAG